rnacentral:rRNA from 1 species
GCCAGACUCCUACGGGAGGCAGCAGUGAGGAAUAUUGGUCAAUGGGCGAGAGCCUGAACCAGCCAAGUCGCGUGAGGGAGUACUGCCCUAUGGGUUGUAAACCUCUUUUGUCGGGGAGCAAAAGCCGGACGUGUCCGGCUGUGAGAGUACCCGAAGAAAAAGCAUCGGCUAACUCCGUGCCAGCAGCCGCGGUAAUACGGAGGAUGCGAGCGUUAUCCGGAUUUAUUGGGUUUAAAGGGUGCGUAGGCGGAAUAUCAAGUCAGCGGUAAAAAUUCGGGGCUCAACCCCGUCGUGCCGUUGAAACUGGUUUUCUUGAGUGAGUGAGAAGUAUGCGGAAUGCGUGGUGUAGCGGUGAAAUGCAUAGAUAUCACGCAGAACUCCGAUUGCGAAGGCAGCAUACCGGCGCUCAACUGACGCUCAUGCACGAAAGUGUGGGUAUCGAACAGGAUUAGAUACCCCGGUA